GUUAUUUUUGAUGAAUGUUAAACAAAGUAAAAUAAUGGGGGGCUGAUAUUGAGUCCUGCCUCUGCUCUCUUCCUCUACAGGCCUACUCUAUGCCCAUAUACCCACCAUACCUGUACCUCGUCCCCCUGCAGCAGGCCCAUGCCAUGCAGCCCAAGCCAUCUUCCCGUUCCCCGUCCCCACAGUGCCUUCCCUCUAACACCCCCUCCAACACCUCCAGCAACCCACAGGAGGGUUACCCGCCUCACCAGUACCCUCCCACUGUAGCACCGGUGCCCUCUCAGUAUGACAAUCAGGCUGUGCUCGAUGAGCCCCCCCGUCCGGCUGAACCCUCCUUCAACCAGGCCAGGUACCCCAUCACCCAGCCACAACCCCCCAGGAUGCCAUGGCAACAGAUGCCUCCACGAAACCCAAGCUACUCAGUUGGGUAUCUUUCCCCACCUCCGCCAUACCCGGGUCCCUCCCCUUCAUCUCAGGGUUACCACCCAAAUCAGGGCGCAGGGGUCCCGGUGUACCCCACAGCCAUGGGUCCGUACAGCCCCUCCUCUCUGGCAUACCAAACUGCAUCCACCCACCAGGAGCUCCAGGUGAGCCAGGGGGCGAUGCAGCAGCACCAGCUUCAGCCGACCAACGGGGACACGAUGCCUGGCCACGGGAACAUCCACAUCUCCAGUCCUCUGGAGAGCGCCGCUGUGCCUAACGUUCCCACUACCAACAGUAACCGAUCAGUGAUGGUCCCAUCCAAUUAUGGCUUCAAGAGAGAUCCGGGAGAGAGUUUGACACGAGCGGUGCUCCUGGUGGAUCCGCCACUUAACGACAUGCCCAUAGUUGCUCUGCUUUCUGACCCGCACAUUAAGGACGUCUCCAUGGGAGCCAUGAAAGGCAGCAGCAGCAGCCCCGGCUCUCCGUCACAAUACCGUCCCCGGAAACCGGUCCACGCCACCAACGUGUAUGAACAGAGCCAGAGGAGCGGCUACAUGAAGCCUGUCACCAUGGCGGACAAUCAUUCUGUGGGCUGCAGCACGGAGGAUGACUGGGAGGAGGUGGAGGCGUUUAAAGUGCUGGUGCCAAACUACAGAGGGCAGAGGAGGCCCUACAGAGGAAGGGGAGGGAGAGGAGGCAGAGGAAGGGGUGGCUACGAUCCAACCAGGGAGGUGUACAGGAGUAGACAGGAGAGAGAUAUGGGGGUGGGGUUUAACUAUAUUCAGUCUAACCCUGCCCACAUGGGAUGGGCUCGCGAGAAAAGGUAUUAGCUCUGAGCCAAUGAGAGAAGAGGACACAGGUGGUGAUUUUUUUUUUUUUUUCUUUCUUUCUUUUGCUUUUUUCUGGAGAUCUGAUUGGUGUAGACUGGCAGCCAUGGAAAUGCAGUCUGGACCCGAGUUGGAAAAUCUAUAACUCCAUUUGUGUUUUGCUGCCUCUAAAUCAACAAGCUUAUUGCUUUGUAUCAAAACAUAAACACUAUCCUCCUCUUUUCUUUUAAGUGCAUUAGCAUAGCAUGUUAGCACUAUUUCUUAUCACUCAGACGAAUGGAUUCAAUGAAUGUCGAGCUCUAAGUUUGUUUACGAGGAUUGUGAAUGAUUUAAAAAAAGUUACCCACUGUGUUGACAUGAUGAAUGUAUGGGUUUCUUUACUGGUUGUGUGUUUGAGAUUUUGGGAAAUAUGUUUAUUAGCUUUCUUGCCUGAGAGGAAACGCUUUCAUGUCUGUGGCAGUUUAGCUUAGCUUAGCAUAAAGCAACGGAAAAUCAGCGAAGACUGAGUAGCAUUUUGCUACAUUAAAAAAACAAUGUAAUGACACUGGCAUAGAACAAUAAUCAUUUCAUAAAUAAAAUGGUGAAAAAGGAUCAGUAAGGCAUAAAUUACCAUUGCUAUAUUAAUACAUUUUAGUAACUCAAACCAUACUCUCCCCUCUAUUUCUAUUAUCACAGUUUAAUGUUAACUAGCGUUAAACAGCUAAACUUAUAUUUUAUAUCAAGCUAGUUAGCUUAGCACUAAGCAGCGGGAAAUCAGUCAUGACUGUAAAGUAUAAUUUUCUAUAUGAUACAUUUAAAAAAACUUGCAUAAAACCAUACUCUUUCACUUGUACAUAUAGUUAUUUAGCACAGCUUAGCAAAAAAACCUUGAGGUAUAAAGUAGCAUUUUCCUAUUUCCUAUCCAAUCUUUUAGUAACUCUCUUAAAACCAUAUGUUUUUUAAAAAAAAUUCUUUCCACUCCCAUUUUUACAUCAAGCUAGUUAGUUGAGCACAAAGCAGUGGGAAAAGUCAUGACUGUUGGGAGAAAGUUAGCAUUUUUGUAUAUAAAUGACAUCAUAUAAGUUAAACCAAAUUUUUUCCCACUGCAGUUUUUACACACAGCUAGCUAGCUUAGCACAGGUGAGCCCAUCAAACCCCAGAUUCACUUUUUGCACACACUAACAAGCUUUAAAUGGGCGUGCUCGGCUAGCUGUUUGUGCCCAUGUCUCUAUGCUAAGGUAAGCACAGACACAAAGCGCUCCGUCUGCUCCUCUCUCUAAAAUUAUUUGCAGAAGUCUUCCUCUGAUGAGUCAAAGAUAAAUUUGUCUUGUUUGUUUUUUAUGUCGUUAUAAAUGCUGGGAGCUCAGUGGAUCAGUGCGGGGGGGAGAAGCAAAAAGCCAAGGGGAGCGAGCUGGAAAGGAGUGUAAGAACUGCUGCUGCUGUUAGCGCCCAUCAGGCUGUUGGUCACUGUGAGUUGUGCAUGGACAUUUUUCUUUCAGGUCUGUCUGCUGGUUUCUGGUCGUCUAACCUCAGAUCCAGUGCCUUAUGUUUGCUGCGUUUACUUCUCUGUGCUCGGAGAAACACUGCUGUACAGAACAAAAACGUGCUGUUUGGAUUUGAUUUUCUAUGUGGUUGAAUAAAUAAACCUUUGGCUCAG
ensembl:lncRNA